rnacentral:rRNA from 1 species
AGAAUCAACGCUGGCGGCGUGCCUAACACAUGCAAGUCGAACGAGAAAGUGGAGCAAUCCAUGAGUAAAGUGGCGACCGGGUGAGUAACACGUGACUAACCUACCCUCGAGUGGGGAAUAACAUCGGGAAACCGAUGCUAAUACCGCAUAACAUCGCAAGAUCAAAGCCGAAAGGCGCUUGAGGAGGGGGUCGCGGCUGAUUAGCUAGUUGGUAGGGUAAUGGCCUACCAAGGCUUAGAUCGGUAGCCGGCCUGAGAGGGCGCACGGCCACACUGGAACUGAAACACGGUCCAGACUCCUACGGGAGGCAGCAGUGGGGAAUUUUGCGCAAUGGGGGAAACCCUGACGCAGCAACGCCGCGUGGAGGAUGAAGUCCCUUGGGACGUAAACUCCUUUCGACCGGGACGAUACUGACGGUACCGGAAGAAGAGCCCCGGCUAACUUCGCGCCAGCAGCCGC